rnacentral:ncRNA from 1 species
AGAAAAUCGUGCUGAACGCGCAGAAGUCAGCCGAAGCCAUCGUAGCGUAAGGGAAAAACUCACGGGAAGGGC